UACGAAGGGGGCUAGCGUUGCUCGGAAUCACUGGGCGUAAAGGGUGCGUAGGCGGGUCUUUAAGUCAGGGGUGAAAUCCUGGAGCUCAACUCCAGAACUGCCUUUGAUACUGAAGAUCUUGAGUGCGGGAGAGGUGAGUGGAACUGCGAGUGUAGAGGUGAAAUUCGUAGAUAUUCGGAAGAACACCAGUGGCGAAGGCGGCUCACUGGCCCGGUACUGACGCUGAGGUGCGAAAGCGUGGGGAGCAAACAGG
rnacentral:rRNA from 1 species